UACGUAGGCAGCAAGCGUUGUUCGGAGUUACUGGGCGUAAAGGGUGUGUAGGCGGUUCUCUAAGUUUGGGGUGAAAUCUCCCGGCUCAACUGGGAGGGUGCGCCGAAAACUGGAGAGCUAGAGUACUGGAUGGGAGAGUGGAAUUCCUGGUGUAGCGGUGAAAUGCGUAGAUAUCAGGAGGAACACCGGUGGUGUAGACGGCUCUCUGGACAGUAACUGACGCUGAGACACGAAAGCGUGGGUAGCAAACAGG
rnacentral:rRNA from 1 species